rnacentral:rRNA from 1 species
AUGGUGGCCAAGAUGCGGCAGCCCCAUGCUCUGUUCCGAUGGGCCUCCUCUGCUCGAUGGUUGACGCUGGUUGAGUUUGGUACGGUUUCCUGUUGUUGCUUGUGUCGAGCCAUGGGUCCGUCUCUCCUUCGCACUGAGCGUAAUUCUCCUGUCGCUGGCGCUUCUUCUUCUCGUCCGUCCUGCUGCUUACCAAAGUGCUUCUGCUUGCUGCCUCAGGUUGUACGAUCUCUUCUGUCACUGUCAUUCGACUCAUUAAGGGUGUGUAUGCUUGUUUCCGUUGUUAUACCUGUUUUGGAGGCUGUGGGUAGCUCGAUGCGCUUUGCCGUCCCUUUCAUAUCUGUGUGUAGUCGGAGGAUGGCUCUGUUCUUGCUGGUGUAG